UACGUAGGGAGCAAGCGUUUGUCCGGAAUCAUUGGGCGUAAAGCGCGCGUAGGUGGCUUCGUAAGUCCGUUGUGAAAGUCAAAGGCUCAACCUUUGAAAGCCGAUGGAUACUGCGGAGCUAGAGUACGGAAGAGGCGAAGUGGAAUUCCUGGUGUAGCGGUGGAAUGCGCAGAUAUCAGGAGGAACACCAAUAGCGAAGGCAGCUCGCUGGGACGUUACUGACACUGAGGCGCGAAAAGCGUGGGGGAGCGAAACAGGAUUAGAAACCCC
rnacentral:rRNA from 1 species